AGCUUAGUGGCGAACGGGUGAGUAACGCGUAAUCAACCUGCCCUUCAGAGGGGGACAACAGUUGGAAACGACUGCUAAUACCGCAUACGAUUCAACUUCGGCAUCGAGGAUGAAUGAAAGGUGGCCUCUAUUUAUAAGCUAUCGCUGAAAGAGGGGAUUGCGUCUGAUUAGCUAGUUGGAGGGGUAACGGCCCACCAAGGCGAUGAUCAGUAGCCGGUCUGAGAGGAUGAACGGCCACAUUGGGACUGAGACACGGCCCAGACUCCUACGGGAGGCAGCAGUGGGGAAUCUUCCGCAAUGGACGAAAGUCUGACGGAGCAACGCCGCGUGAGUGAUGACGGCCUUCGGGUUGUAAAGCUCUGUUAAUCGGGACGAAAGGUCCUCUUGUGAAUAAUUAGAGGAAUUGACGGUACCGGAAUAGAAAGCCACGGCUAACUACGUGCCAGCAGCCGCGGUAAUACGUAGGUGGCAAGCGUUGUCCGGAAUUAUUGGGCGUAAAGCGCGCGCAGGCGGAUUAGUCAGUCUGUCUUAAAAGUUCGGGGAUUAACCCCGUGAUGGGAUGGAAACUGCUAAUCUAGAGUAUCGGAGAGGAAAGUGGAAUUCCUAGUGUAGCGGUGAAAUGCGUA
rnacentral:rRNA from 1 species